UACAGAGGUCCCAAGCGUUGUUCGGAUUCACUGGGCGUAAAGGGUGCGUAGGUGGCGGGGUAAGUCUGGUGUGAAAGCUCCGAGCUCAACUCGGAAAAGCAUUGGAAACUAUCCCGCUGGAGGGUCGGAGGGGAGACUGGAAUUCUCGGUGUAGCAGUGAAAUGCGUAGAUAUCGAGAGGAACACCAGUGGCGAAGGCGAGUCUCUGGACGACUCCUGACACUGAGGCACGAAAGCUAGGGGAGCAAACAGG
rnacentral:rRNA from 1 species